AUGCAGUACAGCUCUAGAGGAUACUAUGGUGAAAGUGUGUGUGGGGACAGUUUAGUUCUUCCAUCCCAUCCUGCUGACAGCUGUUCCCACCCCAUGCCCUUGCCCCUGCCACCUGAGCUCCAUAGGACUCCCUGUUCUCCAGCACAUCUCCUAUGGUUCUGUUUGUUGUUGCUUCUGUGUGCGUGUAGAUGCCUUAAGCACGUGUUUUGCCCGGUGCAGGUGUCACUCAGCUGCCUGUGCAAUCUGGGGAAAACAAACAAGAUGUGGCAACUUUUGGAGCAGAAAGUGAACGCAGCCCGCUGUGACCUGCUCUUCACUGAGGACAUCAAUCGAAGGAUGCAGGUCCCCAACAGACUCACUGUGGCAAAUAGCUUCAGCCCUGUGGAUGAGGAGCCCAUGCCUGAAGGUGUACCCCCUUCCUUUCCAACACACAUCCCUGUUAGGAUUUCACUUGCAGCAUCAGAUGCAGAUCUGAGACCCAUCCUGCUGGACCAGCAGAGGAAUGUCCCCUGCACUGAGGUGUGCGUGUCCCUAGACUCCUCGGCUCAGCACUUUGCACUGGGGGAGCUUCCUUUUAUGCACAUGGCUGGCAGAUCAAGUGCCCAGAAUCGCAGACGACUGGGCCACCACAGCAGCAGGUCACGGCGGCAGAGCCAGCACAGCAGUGGAUCACGGCGGUCCCCAAGUGACAGCACCCAGCUGGCCUUGCCCAGCCCAGCCCUGCACCAUGAGCGCUCCCAGGAGGUUGGCGCAGCCCCAGAGGAGGUCAUCGUGGCUGAGGCUGCAGCAAUGAAAAAGGAGCUGGCAAGGAUCUCGGAGCGGCUGUGUGUGCUGGAGGAGCAGCACAAGGCUUGGCGGAAAGAGGAGCCCCUGGUGUACUCCAUGCUGCUCUCUGCCUGCCUCGUCAACACCUGGCUCUGGCUGUGGAGAUGACUCUGUGCCUUGGGCUCCCUGACCCACCCUGG
rnacentral:lncRNA from 1 species